CCUCAUAACCACACCAAAACAAACCAACCCUUGAGAAAAGAAAAGAAGGAAAAUCUAUCCGCCUCUUUCAUUACAACAAUAAUAGGAUUACCUACUGUUAUUCUAAUUAUUA